AGAUGUGAGGAUGAUCUGGCUGCCACAUCUGUCACCCCAUUGAUCUCCAGGGUUGAUUCGACUGAUCUGGCUGGCGAGGCGAGUGUCCCUUUCCUCCAUCACCACUCCAUGUGCAUCCCUCCUGAAGCUGAUGGUCGAAAAGCAUGACCUUCCCUGAAUAGAGGAGGACCAAUCUUCGGUCAAGGGUAUAUGAGUAGCUGCACCCCUCUGCUAGAACCUCCAAACAAGCUCUAACUCCAUUCUUAACACUUGUCCUUAUAGCCACUGAUAAGAACAGCUUUCACUGUUCAUCAAACAAGCUUCUUUUUUGCAACUGAUAGAA
rnacentral:snRNA from 1 species